GCCGCCCUCCCGUCCGGGGGGUGGCCAGCGCCCGCCAGAGGACCAUCAAACUCCGGUCAGUGAACGUUGCCGUCUGAAAAACAAUCAAUAAACUAAAACUUUCAACAACGGAUCUCUUGGUUCUGGCAUCGAUGAAGAACGCAGCGAAAUGCGAUAAGUAAUGUGAAUUGCAGAAUUCAGUGAAUCAUCGAAUCUUUGAACGCACAUUGCGCCCCUCGGUAUUCCGAGGGGCAUGCCUGUUCGAGCGUCAUUACAACCCUCAAGCUCUGCUUGGUGUUGGGCACCGCCCUUCCGCGGGCGCGCCUCGAAGACCUCGGCGGUGGCGUCUUGCCUCGAGCGUAGUAGAAAACACCUCGCUCUGGAGCGCACGGCGCCGCCCGCCGGCCGAACCUUUGAACUUCUCAAGGUGACCUCGGAUCAG
rnacentral:rRNA from 1 species